rnacentral:rRNA from 1 species
UAUCCCCUACGGGAGGCAGCAGUGAGGAAUAUUGGUCAAUGGCCGAGAGCCUGAACCAGCCAAGUAGCGUGAAGGAUGACGGCCCUAUGGGUUGUAAACUUCUUUUAUAUGGGAAUAAAACGUUCCACGUGGGGGAUUUUGUAUGUACCAUAUGAAUAAGGAUCGGCUAACUCCGUGCCAGCAGCCGCGGUAAUACGGAGGAUCCGAGCGUUAUCCGGAUUUAUUGGGUUUAAAGGG